rnacentral:lncRNA from 1 species
UUUGCAUCAGCUGGAAGUUGAUUGCCUUCGAUUUGGAACCAGGCUGCAUCCUGGGUUUGAACCAGGUGCCCAUUUCAAAGCCCACUGCGAAGUCUGCUCAAAACAAAACUGACGUCCCUGGAGGCCAUUGUGACAUCCAUUGUGUGGCAACACAGCUUUGGAAGCCAGGCGGAGUGUCAGUGAGAGGAGCUGAAGAGAGAGAACGCAGGUAAAACCGAUACAGAAAAGGAGUAUUGUUUUCCAGUCAGAAGUGCUGCACCGAGAAGGUGUUUAUACCUGCUGUUAACAUGCGCCCUCAUCUUGUCUUU